rnacentral:lncRNA from 1 species
GCCUUAGAAUUAUCUUGAAUGCACUUUCUUUCUAUUUGGUAGGAGUUAGGUUUGGUAGAAGAGAAAACAGAAAAGAAUGGAAGAAAGGUGGUAAAGUGCAAGAAGCUUAAAUUCAUUUCUCGUGUUUGGUUUAACUUGUAAGUUGAAAGAAAACAAAUUAUAAGUAGCUUUUCCCUUCUUUGUUAAAACACCCAAGUGGCAUGUUUGGUUGGCAGGGCUGGAUUGGGU